AGCAGCCGCGGUAAUUCCAGCUCCAAUAGCGUAUAUUAAAGUUGUUGCAGUUAAAAGCUCGUAGUUGAAUUUCGGGAUUGACACAUCGGUCGUGCCUUAAGGGGUAUGAACUGGUGUAGUCAAUUUCUCACCUUCUGGAGAACCGCGAUGCCCUUAAUUGGGUGUCGCGGGGAACCAGGACCUUUACUUUGAAAAAUUAGAGUGUUUAAAGCAGGCAUUUUGCUUGAAUACAUUAGCAUGGAAUAAUAAAAUAGGACGGCAUGAUUCUAUUUUGUUGGUUUCUAGGAUCACCGUAAUGAUUAAUAGGGAUAGUUGGGGGCAUUAGUAUUCAAUUGUCAGAGGUGAAAUUCUUGGAUUUAUUGAAGACUAACUACUGCGAAAGCAUUUGCCAAGGAUGUUCUCAUUAAUCAAGAACGAAAGUUAGGGAUCGAAGACGAUCUGAUACCGUCGUAGUCUUAACCAUAAACUAUGCCGACUAGGAAUCAGACGAUGUUAAUUUUUAAUGUACUCGUUUGGCUAC
rnacentral:misc_RNA from 1 species